UAUCAAAAACAUGUCUUUUUGAUUUAAUUUAAAGUCGGACCUGCCCAAUGAUAAAGUUAAAUGGCCGCAGUAUAUUAACUGUGCAAAGGUAGCAUAAUCAUUAGUUUUUUAAUUGAAAGCUUGUAUGAAUGGUUUGAUGAAAUAUAAACUUUUUUAUUUUGAUUAUAAUAUAAUUUUAUUUUUUAGUUAAAAAGCUAAAAUUUUUAUAUAAGACGAGAAGACCCUAUAGAUUUUUAUAUUUUUAAUAUUUUAUUUAUAUAGUUUAUUUAAAAUAUAAUAAUUUUUAAUAUUUUAUUGGGGUGAUAAUAAAAUUUAAUUAACUUUUAUAAUAUAAAUUACAUAAAUUAAUGAGUUUUUGAUCCAUUAUUAGUGAUUAUUAAAUUAAAUUACCUUAGGGAUAACAGCGUAAUUUUUUUAGAGAGUUCUUAUCGAUAAAAAGGAUUGCGACCUCGAUGUUGAAUUAAAAUUUAUAUUAGGCGCAGUAGUUUAAUAAUAAAGUCUGCUCGACUUUUAAAUUUUUACAUGAUCUGAGCUCAAACCG
rnacentral:rRNA from 1 species